rnacentral:rRNA from 1 species
UACGAAGGGGGCUAGCGUUGCUCGGAAUCACUGGGCGUAAAGCGCACGUAGGCGGAUUGCUAAGUCAGGGGUGAAAUCCUGGAGCUCAACUCCAGAACUGCCUUUGAUACUGGUGAUCUUGAGUCCGGGAGAGGUGAGUGGAACUGCGAGUGUAGAGGUGAAAUUCGUAGAUAUCCGCAGGAACUCCGGUGGCGAAGGCGGCGUGCUGGACCCUUUCUGACGCUGAGGCGCGAAAGCCAGGGGAGCGAACGGG